rnacentral:rRNA from 1 species
UACAGAGGGGGCAAGCGUUGUUCGGAAUUACUGGGCGUAAAGCGUGCGCAGGCGGCUUUGCAAGUCAGAUGUGAAAUCCCCGGGCUUAACCUGGGAACUGCAUUUGUGACUGCAUGGCUGGAGUGCGGCAGAGGGGGAUGGAAUUCCGCGUGUAGCAGUGAAAUGCGUAGAUAUGCGGGGGAACACCGAUGGCGAAGGCAAUCCCCUGGGCCUGCACUGACGCUCAUGCACGAAAGCGUGGGGAGCAAACAGG